rnacentral:rRNA from 1 species
UACAGAGGGGGCAAGCGUUGUUCGGAAUUACUGGGCGUAAAGGGCGCGUAGGCGGCCCGCUAAGUCGAACGUGAAAUCCCCGAGCUCAACUCGGGAACUGCGUCCGAUACUGGCGGGCUUGAAUCCGGGAGAGGGAUGCGGAAUUCCAGGUGUAGCGGUGAAAUGCGUAGAUAUCUGGAGGAACACCGGUGGCGAAGGCGGCAUCCUGGACCGACACUGACGCUGAGGAGCGAAAGCCAGGGGAGCAAACAGG